GUCAAAACAAAGCGCGCUAUGCUAAAAGAUUAAAAAACGUUUAAGCAGCGCUGUCCAACAGCAACAGCAGAAACAAUAUGCCAGUAAUAACAGUAACACAAACACACCAGCACCAGCACCAGCACCAGAAUAAGCACCAAACACCAGAACCAACGAAAUUUGAGACACGCAGAGAAACGCAAACGCUCUUCAAAUGGAAAUCCGACUGAAAGCUACUCAUUACCAUCUGAAACACUGCAGCCAAAAUAUUGAAACUAAAGGCAACAAGUAUUUUGUUUGCAUUUGCUGUGGACAACGGAGAAAUCCAAUUUUUGGAAUGGCUGGUAAUAUAAAUAUACUCUCGAAUGUUUACAAUAUCCGGCUUAAGGCAAACUCUUUAACUCAGGCACAUUAUACCCCAGAACUUUACGAUUACCAGGUAUCACUUUGCUACAAGCAGGGGCCUUGUAAACAACAGGAGUAAAAGCCAACGCCGGCGCAGAGGUGAAGCGGAUAAGAGGCCAAAGCGGGGCAGAGCGGAUAAAAUGGAGCGCACGGAUAGCAAUCAACAUGGGCCGGAUAAAGCCAGCAGCUGGGAACACUCGCCUCCGGCUGUGCCGCUUCCCGCACGAGCAUAGCCGAUGCACAGUCGUACCGGCAGCCGAUGUCUGGCGAAUGAAUAUCCAUCCAGUGCGUGCUACUGUCGCUGUCGCUGUUGCUGCGCUGCCACCGCCGAAUCCGCUG
rnacentral:lncRNA from 1 species